AGGUAUAAAAAUAUUAUUUAAUUGAAAAGGAGAGAGAAAAAGUAUUUGUUUUUAGUGGAAAUAUAUUGAUAUAGGAGUUGUUUUUUAGUGGAAUGUAUGUAUAAUUUUAGGGGGUUGGAUGUGAAUACUCUUACAAUAUCAACAGCCGACACCCCUUCCUCCCCUGCUCUCUCUCUCUCCUCCGGCGACCGGCGCCGAUUCCGGCAAGUUCUCCGACGGCAGGUCACACGACAAACACCCACCUAACUCCCUUCUUCCUCGACCCCUCUGCCCUCUCUCGUUCCCUCUCUGACGAAGACCACUGACAACCGGCGGUGACCGGUGGCUCUCCGGCGCCCCCUUCUUCUCCAACCACGGCAACCACCCUAACCCGCUUUUAUAUAAACCGAAGCAGGCCCCUUUCAUCUCGUUUACCUCCCCAUUUCCCCACUCGCUAAACAAUAAUCUUACGCCAGAGAAAGUUACAGCCCGUCGGAGUUCACCGGAGACGUAUGGGUUUCGCAACGGGAUUCACACAUCACGAUUUUCGUUGGGGUGAUUUUUAUCUCUUGGAGGUUCUCUUCAUUUUCUUUUGGUGUUACCAAGGAUCUCCAUACACAAAACAGAUUGUGACAGAUGAAUCCAGUAGGAUUGCCUAGAAACGCAAUUAAACUUUAUUGCUCGUUGUAUUGUAAUUUGCUUUCAAUCUUGUUGUAUUCUAUUUCCAAUACUUGUAAUAAUUAAUU